rnacentral:rRNA from 1 species
UACGUAGGGUGCAAGCGUUGUCCGGAAUUAUUGGGCGUAAAGAGCUCGUAGGCGGUUUGUUGCGUCGGCUGUGAAAUCCCGAGGCUCAACCUCGGGUCUGCAGUCGAUACGAGCAAACUAGAGUGUUGCAGGGGAGACUGGAAUUCCUGGUGUAGCGGUGAAAUGCGCAGAUAUCAGGAGGAACACCGGUGGCGAAAGGCGGGUCACUGGGCCGCAACUGACGCUGAGGAGCGAAAGCAUGGGGAGCGAACAGG